rnacentral:rRNA from 1 species
CAGGGCUUUGUUCGAUGUCAUCAUCGGCAGGGGCAAGGUCCAGCGCAAGAACAUCGGCAACCAGCUGCUGCUGGAGCACAUCCAGGAGAUGAAGGUCAUCUGGCACAACAUCUGGACGCGAGAUCGGCAGGAGUACGCAGCGCGCAUGGUGCAA